UACGGAGGAUGCGAGCGUUAUCCGGAUUUAUUGGGUUUAAAGGGUGCGCAGGCGGGAGAUUAAGUCGGCGGUGAAAUUUUGCAGCUCAACUGUAAAAGUGCCUUCGAAACUGGUUUCCUUGAGUGUAGAUGAAGUAGGCGGAAUUUGUGGUGUGGCGGUGGAAUGCAUAGAUAUCACGAGGAACUCCGAUUGCGCAGGCAGCUUACUAAACCACUACUGACGCUCAGGCACGAAGGCGUGGGGAUCAAACAGGAUUAGAUACCCU
rnacentral:rRNA from 1 species